GAGGGAAAGUUGAAAAGCACUUUGAAGAGAGAGUUAAAGAGGACGUGAAACCGGUAAGAAGGAAACGGAUAGAGCCAGCGUAUCUAGCCUGUAUUCAGCUGGUGUUUCCUGCCAGGCGUGUCGCUCCACACCUGUCUCGGGGUGGGCGGCGGGUCGUUUCGGUGGGUCUCACUAGUGCAUUUGCAGGUGGAGUGCACUGAGGCUUGUGGUGUCGGCAGUUGGAACCGCGAUUCGAGGCCAUCACUUCGGUGAGGAACCCAAACGUCGGGGAAGAUUGUCCGUGCUGCAUGUGUUAACGAGUGUGGUCGGGGUUGCUUCCCGCCGUGGUGUUGGCAAGUUGCGGUCGCAUGCGACACGUGCUCGUCCAUCGCUUCGGUUGGGGGUGGUUCUUCAUGCUCAUUCUCGGUGUAAAAGUUGGUCAUCUCUCCGACCCGUCUUGAAACACGGACCAAGGAGUUUAGCAAAUACGCGAGUCAUUGGGUGAGAAAACCCAUAGGCGCAAUGAAAGUGAAUGUGGCCGUUUACGCGGUUGUGAUAUGCGAUUGUGUGCAUCUCGGUGCGCACGGGCAGCAUAGCCCCGUCCCGAUCGCUUGCGAUGGGGCGGAGGUAGAGCGUGUUUGCUGAGACCCGAAAGAUGGUGAACUAUUCCUGAGCAGGACGAAGCCAGAGGAAACUCUGGUGGA
rnacentral:rRNA from 1 species